UUAAGUUCAGCGGGUAUCCCUACCUGAUCCGAGGUCAAAUUCAUGGGGGUAGCUUCUGGGAGCCGAUCCGUCGGGCCCGAGUUCGCGUUUCUGCUGCGCUCGAAGCCAACGUGCCGGCCGCCAAUAGAUUUGAGGCGAGUCCGCGCCGUGAGGCAGGACAGACGCCCAACACCAAGCAAAGCUUGAAGGUACAAAUGACG
rnacentral:misc_RNA from 1 species